GAGUUUGAUCAUGGCUCAGAUUGAACGCUGGCGGCAGGCCUAACACAUGCAAGUCGAGCGGAAACACAAGGGAGCUUGCUCCUGAGGUGUCGAGCGGCGGACGGGUGAGUAAUGCCUAGGUAUCUGCCCAGUCGAGGGGGAUAACAGUUGGAAACGACUGCUAAUACCGCAUACGCCCUACGGGGGAAAGGAGGGGACCUUCGGGCCUUUCGCGAUUGGAUGAACCUAGGUGGGAUUAGCUAGUAGGUGGGGUAAUGGCUCACCUAGGCAACGAUCCCUAGCUAGUCUGAGAGGAUGAUCAGCCACACUGGAACUGAGACACGGUCCAGACUCCUACGGGAGGUAGCAGUGGGGAAUAUUGCACAAUGGGCGAAAGCCUGAUGCAGCCAUGCCGCGUGUAUGAAGAAGGCCUUCGGGUUGUAAAGUACUUUCAGCGAGGAGGAAAGGUAGGUAGUUAAUAACCAACAGCUGUGACGUUACUCGCAGAAGAAGCACCGGCUAACUUCGUGCCAGCAGCCGCGGUAAUACGAGGGGUGCAAGCGUUAAUCGGAAUUACUGGGCGUAAAGCGUACGCAGGCGGUUUGUUAAGCGCGAUGUGAAAGCCCCGGGCUCAACCUGGGAACUGCAUUUCGAACUGGCAAACUAGAGUCUUGUAGAGGGGGGUAGAAUUUCAGUGUAGCGGUGAAAUGCGUAGAGAUCUGAAGGAAUACCGGUGGCGAAGCGGCCCCUGGACAAAGACUGACGCUCAGUACGAAAGC
rnacentral:rRNA from 1 species